CUAAAGGAAAGAACUGAAAACACUGCACAUCUGAGAUGCUACAUCAAUUACAUUUUAUUUCAUUAAUGACUCUGCUGUUCUCAGGUGGAGAGACUUCAUUUGUGGAGCAAAACCGUUUUGUAGUCGCAUGGCCGGGAACAGAUGUGACACUGAACUGCACUUUAAAUGACCAGAAGUAUCCCUGGAUGUACUGGUACCGUCAGUACACAGGACAGGGUCCUGAACUCCUUUACUCAUCAGUGGGGCAAGGGGAUGCCACCAGCUAUACAUCUGAUGAUAUCAAGGCAUCUCGAACAAGCAGUGUGUUUCAGCUGAUAAUCAGUAAGAUAAACACCUCGGCCAUCUACUUGUGCGCCUGCAGUGCAGCACAGUGA